AUUGAACGCUGGCGGCAGGCCUAACACAUGCAAGUCGAGCGGAGCGGCGGACGGGAGAGAAAUGACUGGGAAUCUGCCUGGUAGUGGGGGAUAACGUCCGGAAAAGGGCGCUAAUACCGCAUACUAUCAGAUGAGCCUAGGUCGGAUUAGCUAGUUGGUGGGGUAAAGGCAUACCAAGGCGACGAUCCGUAACUGGUCUGAGAGGAUGAUCAGUCACACUUGAACUGAGAUACGGCACAGACUCCAACGGGAGGCAGCAGUGGGGAAUAUUGGACAAUGGGCGAAAGCCUGAUCCAGCCAUGCCGCGUGUGUGAAGAAGGUCUUCGGAUUUUAAAGCACUUUAAGGUGGUAGGCGUUACCGACAGAAUAAGCACCGGCUAACGUCGUGCCAGCAGCCGCGGUAAUUC
rnacentral:rRNA from 1 species